UGCGUAGGCGGAAUAAUAAGUCAGCGGUGAAAUCCUGCAGCUUAACUGUAGAAUUGCCAUUGAUACUGUUAUUCUUGAGUAUAGUUGAGGUGGGCGGAAUGUAUAAUGUAGCGGUGAAAUGCUUAGAUAUUAUACAGAACACCUAUUGCGAAGGCAGCUCACUAAACUAUAACUGACGCUGAUGCACGAAAGCGUGGGGAGCGAACAGGAUUAGAUACCCUGGUAGUCC
rnacentral:rRNA from 1 species